UACGUAGGGAGCAAGCGUUGUCCGGAAUCAUUGGGCGUAAAGCGCGCGUAGGCGGCCCGAUAAGUCCGUUGUGAAAGUCAAAGGCUCAACCUUUGAAUGCCGAUGGAUACUGUCGGGCUAGAGUCCGGAAGAGGCGAGUGGAAUUCCUGGUGUAGCGGUGGAAUGCGCAGAUAUCAGGAGGAACACCAAUAGCGAAGGCAGCUCGCUGGGACGGUACUGACGCUAAGGCGCGAAAGCGUGGGGAGCGAACAGG
rnacentral:rRNA from 1 species